rnacentral:rRNA from 1 species
AGAGUUUGAUCCUGGCUCAGGAUGAACGCUGGCGGCGUGCCUAACACAUGCAAGUCGAGCGAUUCUCUUCGGAGAAGAGCGGCGGACGGGUGAGUAACGCGUGGGUAACCUGCCCUGUACACACGGAUAACAUACCGAAAGGUAUGCUAAUACGAGAUAAUAUGCUUUUAUCGCAUGGUAGAAGUAUCAAAGCUUUUGCGGUACAGGAUGGACCCGCGUCUGAUUAGCUAGUUGGUAAGGUAACGGCUUACCAAGGCGACGAUCAGUAGCCGACCUGAGAGGGUGAUCGGCCACAUUGGAACUGAGACACGGUCCAAACUCCUACGGGAGGCAGCAGUGGGGAAUAUUGCACAAUGGGCGAAAGCCUGAUGCAGCAACGCCGCGUGAGCGAUGAAGGCCUUCGGGUCGUAAAGCUCUGUCCUCAAGGAAGAUAAUGACGGUACUUGAGGAGGAAGCCCCGGCUAACUACGUGCCAGCAGCCGCGGUAAUACGUAGGGGGCUAGCGUUAUCCGGAAUUACUGGGCGUAAAGGGUGCGUAGGUGGUUUCUUAAGUCAGAGGUGAAAGGCUACGGCUCAACCGUAGUAAGCCUUUGAAACUGGGAAACUUGAGUGCAGGAGAGGAGAGUGGAAUUCCUAGUGUAGCGGUGAAAUGCGUAGAUAUUAGGAGGAACACCAGUUGCGAAGGCGGCUCUCUGGACUGUAACUGACACUGAGGCACGAAAGCGUGGGGGAGCAAACAGGAUUAGAUACCCUGGUAGUCCACGCCGUAAACGAUGAGUACUAGCUGUCGGAGGUUACCCCCUUCGGUGGCGCAGCUAA